CCUACGGGUGGCAGCAGUGGGGAAUUUUCCGCAAUGGGCGAAAGCCUGACGGAGCAACGCCGCGUGAGGGAUGAAGGCCUCUGGGCUGUAAACCUCUUUUCUCAAGGAAGAAGACCUGACGGUACUUGAGGAAUAAGCCACGGCUAAUUCCGUGCCAGCAGCCGCGGUAAUACGGGAGUGGCAAGCGUUAUCCGGAAUUAUUGGGCGUAAAGCGUCCGCAGGUGGCCCUGUAAGUCUGUCGUUAAAGCGUGGAGCUUAACUCCAUUUAAGCGAUGGAAACUACAGGGCUAGAGUGUGGUAGGGGCAGAGGGAAUUCCCGGUGUAGCGGUGAAAUGCGUAGAUAUCGGGAAGAACACCAGUGGCGAAGGCGCUCUGCUGGGCCAUCACUGACACUCAUGGACGAAAGCCAGGGGAGCGAAAGGGAUUAGAUACCCCAGUAGUC
rnacentral:rRNA from 1 species